UAGGCAGAAGCCCGCUGGAUUGGGCGGUUGGUUGUUAACCAAGAGAUUACGGGAUCAAGGCCCGUCUGGCUAUU
rnacentral:tRNA from 1 species